rnacentral:lncRNA from 1 species
GAUCCCUACACUUCUUCCUAUUUUUUUCUUAAUUUUUUCUAUUUUUUUCUACAUCUUCUCUACUAUUUUUUUACUAUUCCCAGAUCCCUUUAUUUGUAGAUAAUUUUUUUCUCAAAUUUUGGUAGAAAAUGUAGUCCCAAAAGCCUUCAAAUUGGUGUCUAUCCCGCAUCACAUCUUCCUGCCCAUCAGAUCUUGUUUGAAUGCA